rnacentral:rRNA from 1 species
AUGGAAUAACAAUAAUAUAUGUAUUUAUUAUAUCACGAAACGAGAUGAGCUAAAAUGAUAAUAUAUUAGAAUGUACUCUGUGUGUUGCAUUACACAGUUAUUAUAAACUUUUAGGGGUGAAAUGCCUUUCAAAUCUUUGGAUAACUUGAUAUAUAGGAAAAAUAUUAAGUAUUUAAUCAAAUUAAAAAUGCUAAGGUUUUUAAUUUGUAUAAUAAUUAUAUUUUAAUAUUUAAAAUGUUUAAUAGCAGUUAAUUUAUAUAAAAUAUAACUUUGUAUUAUAAAUAUAUACAUACUACUAUAAUUUGGAUGUUAAUUUAUAUACAUACAUAAUUAAUGUUAUUAUUAGUAUUAAAACAAUUUUUGUUAAGGAACUCGGCAAACAUAAACUACUCAACUGUUUAUCAAAAACAUUGCUUUAUGUUUUUUUAUAAGGUUAACCCUGCUCAAUGAUAUAUUAAAUAGCCGCAGUACUUUGACUGUGCAAAGGUAGCAUAAUCAUUUGGCUUAUAAUUGAAGUCUGGAAUGAAUGGGAGUAUGGGUAGUUACUGUCUUACCAUAAGUAAUUGAAUUUACUAAUUAAGUGAAAAUUCUUAUAACAAUAUAAUAGACGAGAAGACCCUAGAAAUUUUAUAUAUUUAUGUGGUUACAUAGGCUAUUUUGUUGGGGCGACAGAACAACAUUUAACUUGUUUAUUACUAUUUGACCUUAUUGAAAAGUGUAACUAAAUUACUCUAGGGAUAACAGCAUAAUAUAAAAGAGUUUGUGACCUCGAUGUUGGACUAGGAAUAUUAUUGUUUAGAAGAUAAUAAUAAUAGCUCUGUUCGAGCUUAAAUUCCUACAUGAUCUG